GACGGAAGGUGCAAGCGUUGCUCGGAAUCACUGGGCGUAAAGGGUGCGCAGGCGGCCAAGUGUGUUAGGCGUGAAAGCCCGGGGCUUAACCUCGGAAUUGCACCUAAAACUACUUGGCUAGAGCAUUGGAGAGGGUAGCGGAAUUCACGGUGUAGCAGUGAAAUGCGUAGAUAUCGUGAGGAACACCAGAGGCGAAGGCGGCUACCUGGACAAUUGCUGACGCUCAGGCACGAAAGCUAGGGGAGCAAACGGG
rnacentral:rRNA from 1 species